UGAAGCAUUCUAUGAACAUGCACUCUUAGGUACCUGGUUAAUGUUUUGGGACUAAUUACCUGGAACCCUUUCCCUCUUAAGCAAUGUACAAAACGAAUUGACUAUAUGGAAAUCUUUUUCCAGUUAAAUUUCCAAUCUCCUGAGUCGCAUCUCACUGAGAAUUUACUGAGGUUCGCUUCAAUCCUCUGAAAAUUGGGUAUUCUCAUUGCCCUUAUUCUCACGCCCUUCUCUUAAAAAUUGUUGCUUUAAGCUCUUCUGUAAGUGCUGCUUGUUUAAAUGGUUCCCAAUGACAGCAGCCCACAUUUAGUUACUGUUCCCCAGAGUUUUUAACAGAUUUAUAACUGACCUGUGCUCCAAUAUAGCAAGGUCUUCAGGAGGUGUUUUAAAACAUAGAGGCUUAACGAUCCUCCACUAGUAAAACUAUCAUUUUAUUCAAAUAAACGGAGCCAUAGAUGACUUUUCUCAGCAGAAGACCUGCUUUCUAUUUAAAAUGGCUUUUCCAACUGGAGCGUAUCUAGGCUGAGAAGGAGCAGAUUUUUCUAGGAAGUAGUGGGAGGCAGGAAGAAUCAUGAAAAAGGUGGCGCAGAGGAGAGCAUUAAGCCACAGAGCUGGAACCAGAUCAAAAGGUCUCAGCUGUGCAGACAAAAUUUUGGCUUCUCACAACCGUUAUCUUCACUUGUUAUCCAAGAUGGUCACAGAAUUCAGUUUUGUGGUUCAGAUGGAAGGGUAGAAUGGGUCCGUGGGUCCAUAAAGCUUGGGAAGAAGUGGUCUAGGAAAGGUUAGUGGAGUUUUGGAGAUGACAGGUGACACUUCCCCUGUUUUGGUAGCCACCUUCCUGGGGAAGCCAGUGGCUGUGCCGAAGGGACUUGCACAGCUGGCAGAAAGUGCUGCCUGAGGGUUAGCAUUGGUCAAGGGUUCUGCUGUGCUGGGUGAAUGUGUAACAUGGGACCCUCUCCCUUCUCCUUUCUUUUAGGUCUACACCCUCUUCCUUCACCUUCUGUGGUAGGACGUGUUCCUUCCUCCGCCAUCAGCACGCUGCCUGCUCUGACGCCGUUCUGCCUCCCUAACCCUGCUGCUGUCUCUCCCUGUCCUGGCAGCGAACCGGUCCAUGAAGUAAAAGUAGCUUCCUCUCUGUGCUAAAGGUGAUAAUGAUAAUGAACUGCUUCUUCAGAAGUCUGUAAGUAGCCAUCAGCCAUUGCUAAAAAAAGCUCUUUUCAUUAGUAAUCUGUGGAGCCUGGUCCACUCCCUUGCAGUUUCUGAAGGUGACUG
rnacentral:lncRNA from 1 species